GACGAACGCUGGCGGCGUGCUUAACACAUGCAAGUCGAACGGAAAGGCCCUGCUUUUGUUGGGUUCUCGAGUGGCGAACGGGUGAGUAACACGUGUGUAACCUGCCCUUGACUUUGGGAGAACUUCAGGAAACUGGGGCUAAUACCGGAUAGGAUCUCCUGCAGCAUGGUGGGGGUUGGAAAGUUUCGGCGGUUGGGGAUGGACUCGCGGCUUACCAGCUGGUUUGUGGGGUAGGGGCUUUCCAGGGUUUUCACGGGUAGCCGGCCUGAGAGGGUGACCGGGCACAUUGGGACUGCGAUACGGCCCAGACUCCAACGGGAGGCAGCGGUGGGAAAUAUUGCGCAAUGGGGGGAAGCCUGAUGUGGCAGCGCCGGGUGCGGGAUGACGGCCUUCGGGUUGUAAACCAAUUUCGCCUGUGACGAAGAGUGAGUGACGGUAAUGGGUAAAGAAGCAACGGCUAACUACGUG
rnacentral:rRNA from 1 species